CCUACGGGAGGCAGCAGUGGGGAAUAUUGCACAAUGGGGGAAACCCUGAUGCAGCGACGCCGCGUGAGUGAAGAAGUAAUUCGUUGUGUAAAGCUCUAUUAGCAGGGAAGAAAAUGACGGUACCUGAGUAAGAAGCCCCGGCUAAGUACGUUCAAGCAGCCGCGGUAAUACGUAGGGGGCAAGCGUUAUCCGGCUGUACUGGGUGUAAAGGGAGCGUAGAAGGCAGUACAAGUCUGGAGUGAAAGGCGCGGGCUCAACCCCCGGACUGCUCUGGAAACUGUACGGCUGGAGUGCAGGAGAGGUAAGGGGAAUUCCUAGUGUAGCGGUGAAAUGCGUAGAUAUUAGGAGGAACACCAGUGGCGAAGGCGGCUUACUGGACUGUAACUGACGUUGAGGCUCGAAAGCGUGGGGAGCAAACAGGAUUAGAUACCCUUGUAGUC
rnacentral:rRNA from 1 species